rnacentral:lncRNA from 1 species
GCAGUGUGCCUAACAUAUUACCUGAUAUUUUACCAUUAGUGGGUUUCUCUCUUGGCUAAAGGACUACAGAGAAAGGAGCAGCUAUAUCUGCCUAGAGAAAUCCAUACAGAAGAGGGGAAUGCUUGUGUUGAGGCUUGAAAGAGGAGGAAACGCUGGCUCCAUGAAGCCUUCAUCGACCCUCAAGGAUUGCUCCUUCCUGUCCUUUGUUUCCAUUGAUAAGAAAAAGCUGUCUGUAACUGAUUACCAGGCCUAAGUACAAGAACAGGUUCCUACUGUCGCUAGUCUCUGGGUGCCUCAACAUCCCUUGUUUGUUUCUUUAACCUGCUUGUACCUCUGUAGGCGCGGAGUUUAUUAUUUGUUUUCUUGUGAGAAGACAAACUCAGAGUGGAAGAGAACUUGUCCCAGGUAACCUUUGGUGGAGAUGAGCUCAGAUCAGCCUGACCUCACAACCCAACAAGAACCAGUGCAAGCAGGAAAUGUGUACAUUCUAUAGUCCAUUCAUCUAAGUUGACAAGAAGAAACCUCAGGCAUGAAGACAGAACGAGCAUUUCCCAACAAUACAAAGUGAUAAAGCGUCAAAAUGAGCUUCA